rnacentral:tRNA from 1 species
GCUUGUAGCUCAGUUGGUAGAGCAUCUGACUUUUAAUCAGGUGGUCGCAGGUUCGAUUCCUGCCAAGCC